rnacentral:rRNA from 1 species
GAUGAACGCUGGCGGCGUGCCUAAUACAUGCAAGUCGAGCGAACAGACGAGGAGCUUGCUCCUCUGACGUUAGCGGCGGACGGGUGAGUAACACGUGGAUAACCUACCUAUAAGACUGGGAUAACUUCGGGAAACCGGAGCUAAUACCGGAUAAUAUAUUGAACCGCAUGGUUCAAUAGUGAAAGACGGUUUUGCUGUAACUUAUAGAUGGAUCCGCGCCGCAUUAGCUAGUUGGUAAGGGAACGGCUUACCAAGGCAACGAUGCGUAUCCGACCUGAGAGGGUGAUCGCCCACACUGGAACUGAGACACGGUCCAUACUCCUACGGGAGGCAGCAGUAGGGAAUCUUCCGCAAUGGUCGAAAGCCUGACGGAGCAACGCCGCGUGAGUGAUGACGGUCUUCGGAUCGUAAAACUCUGUUAUUAGUGAAGAACAAAUGUGUAAGUAACUAUGCACGUCUUGACGGUACCUAAUCAGAAAGCCACGGCUAACUACGUG